GGGGGUGUAGCUCAGUGGUAAAGUGCUUGCCUAACACGCAUGAGGCCCUGGGUUUGGUCCUAGUACCAUCA
rnacentral:tRNA from 1 species